rnacentral:rRNA from 1 species
CCUACGGGGCGCAGCAGUGGGGAAUAUUGCACAAUGGGGAAACCCUGAUGCAGCAACGCCGCGUGAGUGAAGAAGUAUUUCGGUAUGUAAAGCUCUAUCAGCAGGGAAGAAGAUGACGGUACCUGAGUAAGAAGCCCCGGCUAACUACGUGCCAGCAGCCGCGGUAAUACGUAGGGGGCAAGCGUUAUCCGGAUUUACUGGGUGUAAAGGGAGCGUAGGUGGCAGGGCAAGUCAGAUGUGAAAACCCGGGGCUCAACUCCGGGAGUGCAUUUGAAACUGUCCAGCUAGAGUGCAGGAGAGGUAAG